GCAACGAGUGUUAUCACUACUGUAUGCCGGAGACAAGCUAGCUUUCCCAAGGCAGACGAAUUUAGAGUGGUUACAAUUAUCCGGGUUUAAAUCACGCUCAUAUUGAUUUGAUUUGGAUGCAAAUAUUCACACUGAGCUUGCAGCAGGCGGCUAUGGUAAGGGGAAUGACGUUUCCUGACCAGGCACAGAGUGGAGCCGAUCACAACACACACUGGCCCAGCUAACCAAUCACAGCACAUUUCGUAUUUCAAAUUUUUUUCUUUUUUCGUAACAACCUAGUAUGAGUACCUGUUCUAGUCCACCCCCAAAACAAAAUCAAGACUUUGUAAAAGAGCAUAAUAGGAGCCCUUUAAGUAUUACUGUUGCUGUGUGAUUUUUAGCUGUCUAUAAUGGCUCUCAAAGCAGCUUCAAAAGUUCUUUGAUGCCUAUUAUAUAUAUAUAAUUUUCAACCAUUUUAAUCGCAUUAAAUCAGUAUUUGAUGUAACUAAAAAGAUUCAUAAACAUUUGAUUUGUUCAUACUUAAAAUGCCUUUAUGUUAGAUGCUAGAUGUAAAUAUAUGAAAAGAGAGCUCUCAGAAUGCAUCAAAAAUAUCUUAAUUUGUGUUUCGAAGAUGAUCAAAGGUCUUACAGGUUUGGAACAACAUAAGGGUGAGUAAUUAAUGACAGAAUUUUCAUUUUUGGGUAAACUAUUCCUUUAACAUUAUCAAUCACUGUCAUCACCAUCAGUAUAUUCAUCACUUCACCAUCUUUGUCCUCAGAUUUUCUACAGUCACCUUGCACCUUUCUUAUCUCAAGUGUUUUGUUGUUUCAGAGUUUCAAUUGAUAUCUGAGCUGGAGGCACCUGCAGCCUCUAGAGCUGCAGACCCCUGAUUCUAGCAGAUUUGAUUUUCACCUUGAGCAGAAAAACACUGCUGCACCCAAUAGAUCUUCAGCUACAUCUGUGGACUACACAAACGUAGAAACGACCAGACAUUGCAACAGCAAUACUGUUACCACAACCAGCAUCCCCUUUACAACAACAACAAACCAGAUUAGCACUACCCAAUCAUCUGCUGCUAAACGACACUCCAAAACACCCAGGACUUCUAUAAGAACUACAACUACACAAUCUCCAAAGACAACACCUAGAAUCCUGUUUGACUCCACCUCACAGAGCGCUAAGUUGGACCCUUCAAAAAGCACUUUAGGAACUCCAAGAGCUGCUGCAACUGAGGCCUCAAUGCUAAGAUGUAACAUCACUGACAAGAUGUGGAUAAAAACAGUGUUGUCCGUACAGUUACGGAGGAGUCGUCUAGACAGUAUUUUGAAGCAGAAUCUCCCUCGAGGGUUUACUCAAGCUCUGAAGAAGGCCUUGAAUGACAGCACGGUUCAGGCUAAGGUUUGCACUUCAUGAAUUUAUAACACAGUCAUCGUUUACAUUUUGUUCUGCAUCAAGUAUGCACCAACACAAAUUACAUUUUGCUUUAAGCAAUGUUUGCUGUCUUGAUAUAACUACCACAAGAUCUACCCUCUAAAUCCGUCCCCUUCCGUCAUUUGUCCUUCUCUUAACGUUAGCAAAUGCAUACUUCACCAGGCUGUAAAAUCCAUGUGAUUGCUCUGAUACUGCAAGAAAAAUAGAAAGCCUUUUCACAUGGUUUAAAACAUUAGCUAUAAUAUAAAUAUUUAUUUAUUGCUGUAUAAAUUUUGCACACAAAUUGUAUCAUUAAGAAUAUCUAUCCCUGGUUAAAAGAUUUGUUUUGCACACAUAAUGGUGUAAUUCACCAGCAGGGGCUAAGCAUCCGUGUUAUAAAUCUUGUUUUCAGCAGCUUUAUUGCUUUAUUUGUGUCUAUUGUUUUCCAUCUUAUCUUUCUCAUUUUAAUAUAUGUUUACUUCAGAUGUGUACCUUAGUGAUAACUGUAUGUCAAUGGAAGCUAGGCUAAUCUGCUAAAUACUGAUACCUAACAAAACCAAACACACAAUCAUUGUCAGCCAAAUCAUUGUAAACCUUAUUAUCGGAGUAGAAACAAAAUAAAAAUAAACUGGGUGAAAAUGGAAACAGAAUACUGCUAUUAGUCACCCCUCAGUUACAUCUUAAGUUUUUCAGUUACUGAGCUUUUUCUGCCUGUUUGUCCCAAGAUAAAAGCUUUGAUGUCAAUGCAGUCCUCAUGCUGGAAGCAAUCCAGGGAGAACUGGAAAGUUCGUGGCUCAUCAAACUGUUGAUUGAAAGAACUACAGGGGUUUGGAUUUUGCAAUAUUUUUGUAAUGUAAGAACAUAACAUUAAAGUAAUUAUUCACAUCCCCUGGAAAUUUUAUCUUUUUAUUUUAAAUUUAUUAAGCAUUUUAGAUUUAUAACUAUUUACAGCAGAGCCCAAGAUCUGCC
rnacentral:lncRNA from 1 species